UACGAAGGGGGCUAGCGUUGCUCGGAAUCACUGGGCGUAAAGCGCACGUAGGCGGAUUGUUAAGUCAGGGGUGAAAUCCUGGAGCUCAACUCCAGAACUGCCUUUGAUACUGGCGAUCUCGAGUCCGGGAGAGGUGAGUGGAACUCCGAGUGUAGAGGUGAAAUUCGUAGAUAUUCGGAAGAACACCAGUGGCGAAGGCGGCUCACUGGCCCGGUACUGACGCUGAGGUGCGAAAGCUAGGGGAGCAAACAGG
rnacentral:rRNA from 1 species